rnacentral:rRNA from 1 species
UCCCNGCACGCGCGCUACACUGAUGCAGUCAACGAGUAGUCUCCCUUGACCGAAAGGCUUGGGUAAUCUUGUGAAACUGCAUCGUGAUGGGGCUUGACGAUUGCAAUUAUUUGUCACAAACGAGGAAUUCCUAGUAAGCGCAAGUCAUCAACUUGCAUUGAUUACGUCCCUGCCCUUUGUACACACCGCAA